AGCUUGCAAUUGAAAAGUAUGAAGGGAUGUUUCCUGCAUUCUCUGAUUCAAGAGAAUGUAAGCUGUUGAAAAAACUAUUGGAGGCCCAUGAGGAGCAGAACAGCGAGGCGUUCACUGAAGCCGUGAAGGAGUUUGAUUCGAUCUCCCGUCUCGACCAGUGGCAGACCACCAUGUUGCUGCGUAUCAAGAAGACCAUCCAGGGUGAUGCCGGUGACCUGAAGUGAUGUGUCCAGGACAAAUACUGUGGCAUAAUGUCUAGUUUAAUUUCUUACCGUAUAUUGUGUGUGUGUGUGACAAUCUGGUUGAACAUUUCUGUAGUGAUACUAGCUCAAAUAUCAGCCGUUUCUUGGAAAAUUCAGAGGGAACUUGCAUUGCAAUUGCAAUGCCUUGCGUUUGAG